rnacentral:misc_RNA from 1 species
AGACGCGUGAACAGUAACAGUCCGGCUGGUCUUUCACAUGUCUAUUAGAACAAAGAUUGCAGGCCAGUCAGCCUGACAAUCGUGCCUACAAUGCGCGGACUGCCGCCUACGUUUCUCUUUCUUUGAUGUUUUUGUAAGCGCUCACGCACGUACGCCCUUUGGGCUGUGCUCCGCGAGGGCGCGGCACGAGCCGCGACGGCCGGUCGGCCUACUUUGGUGACCUACCGUUUAAGGACGGGCGCACGGCACGAGCUGCGACGCGUAAGCGCGCUGCAUUUGACGGUUGAACUGUCAAAUCAGGGCUUGUAGCUCAGUUGGUUAGAGCGCGCGCUUGAUAAGCGUGAGGUCGGAGGUUCAAGUCCUCCCAGGCCCACCAUAUUCCUAUACCUUUACGGGGGCGUAGCUCAGCUGGGAGAGCACCUGCUUUGCAAGCAGGGGGUCGUCGGUUCGAUCCCGUCCGCCUCCACCAAGGUUCUUGGCAGAUGGACGGAGCAAAAACAUCAUUUAAAGAACCAAGUUUGCGGCUUGUUGGAUUUAGGUCUGACGGUUGCGUGUUCUGUAUGAAAUUGUGAAGAGAAGAUAAGUUCGGAUCCUUUUGAAGGAUAGGCGAUCUUUGGUGUGCUUUUUAGCAGACUAUUGCCCGCCGUGCCGUUGCAGCUUGCUGCAUUGGCGUCAUUCAAGAAGAUGUCGCAAGGGUGCUCAUCAAAAGCCCUUGCAGAUGAUUGGCCGCUUAACCGCAGAGCCAUCGGAUUUAUCUCGAGAAGCUGGUCUUUUUUGUCAAAUCGAUUUUUUGCUGAGUGUUUGGUUGUCCAUUGGUAUCCCCCAUGGCGGCGCAAUGCUCGUGAAGGCAAGGAUGGAUAUUGGCAAUGAGAAUGAUCAAGUGUCUUAAGGGCAUUUGGUGGAUGCCUUGGCAUGCACAGGCGAUGAAGGACGUGAUACGCUGCGAUAAGCGUCGGGAGGUGCGAAUACCCUUUGAUCCGACGAUUUC